rnacentral:rRNA from 1 species
GACGAACGCUGGCGGCGUGCUUAACACAUGCAAGUCGAACGAUGAAGCUAGAGCUUGCUCUGGUGAAUUAGUGGCGAACGGGUGAGUAACACGUGAGUAACCUGCCCCGAACUCUGGGAUAACUGCUGGAAACGGUAGCUAAUACUGGAUACGACCUACGAAGGCAUCUUCUGUAGGUGGAAAGAAUUUCGGUUCGGGAUGGACUCGCGGCCUAUCAGCUUGUUGGUGAGGUAAUGGCUCACCAAGGCGACGACGGGUAGCCGGCCUGAGAGGGUGACCGGCCACACUGGGACUGAGACACGGCCCAGACUCCUACGGGAGGCAGCAAUGGGGAAUAUUGCACAAUGGGCGCAAGCCUGAUGCAGCAACGACGCGUGAGGGAUGACGGCCUUCGGGUUGUAAACCUCUUUUAGUAGGGAAGAAGCGAAAGUGACGGUACCUGCAGAAAAAGCACCGGCUAACUACGUGCCAGCCGCCGCGGUAA